ensembl:lncRNA
CGCCAUUGAGCAAAGUUAAUUCUUCCUCUGCACACACACACAAACACACGCAUACUCCUCCGCCUCUUCCACACUAUAGCGUGCGGUUAAGACGGUGCCGGCCGCACCGAGCGAGCGCCGGGACCCAGCGGGGGGUGCGGGGAGGCGGCCGGCCCGGGGGAUGCCACCGCCCUGAGCCGCGAGCGCGCCGCGGGGGACGAGGGACGGCGCGGCCCCGCCGAAAUGGAAGCAUGGAGAUGGCUUUUUACUUAUGAAACAAGACGUAGGUUUUAUUGCAAGGUCUGACUUUGAUGGUAGAUGCUAUCUACGCAGUAGGUAUGUAUUAUUCUUACUUAAUAACCUUCUUACCUUUUGGAAGAAAAGUGGCAUUCCCAUCUUCAAUGUCCAAAUCUAAAAUAUUAAAAAAGGAUCUACAUGUUAAUGUCUCUAAUGUUUUCUAAGCCUAUUGUUUCAGUUCAUGUUUAACAUCGUCUUGUCUUAUGUUAUUGCUUUUAACCUUUUUUUCCUAAUUAUUUGUCUCUUUGAGCUUCUGUGACUUGCUACGUUAAUAUUGAACAAGUCAUUUUAACAAGUGUUUUAGAGAGACUUACAGACUAUUCUUUUUCAUUUACUUCAGUUUUGAAAUGCCAGAACUUGGUCUAACAGAACCUUAGAUUUGAUUAUUUUAACAUGAACAAUUUCAGCUGUGAUAAAUUGGGAAAAAAAAAAAAAAAAAUUAGAGGGGGGAAAAAAAAAAAAAAAAAAAAAAGGCCCUCAGUUUGAAUAUGAGAUUUCUCCUUCCCUGUUUCAGAAUCUUCUGUAUUAUUAAGAGUUUAGAGUUGACACCCGAGCUUACAUGGAAAGCAAUAAAAAGCAGAAUUAUAUCAAAGAAAUGCCAUCUUUAAAAAGAUAUUUCCCUGAAGAGCAAAGUAAGCUACAGGAUUAGGAUAAAUAAUUUUAGUUGUAAAACUGUAAAAUGCACUAGGCUAAUUGCAGUUGUAUUAAGCUAGUUUUGUGAGUGUUUUUUGCUUGUUGAUUGGUUGGUUAGGGCUAUUUUGGUGUAAAUGGAUUGAAGAGAAAAAGAACUUAGUACGAAGCACUGUUCAGAGCCUGUACCUUCGUAACACUGUUAUUUUGCAUUGAGAGUAGAACGUAACUGUGAUGAGCAGAACCUCAGCUCCCAGGAAUGAGCAGUCUAUGCUGCAUAAAAAAUAGAGAUGCUCUAUUUCAUGAGCACAGGUUUAGUUUGAGCUUUUAUAUUGAUCCGAGUCCAUCUCCCCGGACAAAUUUCACGCAUUUCAUUCAUAUGCCUUUGUUUGCUGGUAAAUAAGAUUGGAGAAGAAAAAAUGUGAGUUUCCUGAUGCAUUUCAUUUACGUUUUCAUACUCAACCAAAACAACUAAGGCAGUUUAAGGUAUUAGUGCCAUUUGCUUGUGCACCUCAUCUCCCAAGUCUUUUAAAUGCAACUGUCCCCAUCAGUAGCAAGAGAAUACAAAUCUUUAUCCAUAACUGAGGUGAUAUAGAAGCUUAAAUUGCCAUGUACAGGUCUGCUUGCAGCUUGAUGCCGUGUGUCAGUGGCUAAGGUUUGGGUAUAUGCCUGCUGUAACUGUGGGAAGGAAGGGUCAUUUCUGGGGAGAACUGAGGCUGAAGUUGUGGAGUAUUGCAAACUCUGUAUGUUGUUCUGUCUGAAAAACUAUUCAUUUCAUUUCUUACCAAGAAGAGUUAGCUGCGGUGGUGGUUAUGUAACCAUAGAUGUAUUUGCCUGCUCGAAAAUUGACAGAGGGCAACUCACCUCUUGUUUUUAACAUCAUGUUGAUUAGUGGUAAAUAGGAGAACAAACAACUCAGCUACAGCAGUCUUUUCAACAGCGAGUCUAUAAAAACAUUUUUAAUAAUAGAGAAAAUAUAGGAAGCUUCAAAUAAAUAGGCUUUCCUUUCAAGGGCAAGGAAGUGCUAAACAAGUUGCAGACUUCGGCUGAGAAUGGAAUUCAAGUUUUAACAAAAAUUUCAUCAUGAAUUUUGUUAUCACCAAACUUAAUACUUGAAUUUUUAUCUUAGUUAGAUCUACUCAGUCAAGUAAUUUAUUUCCCAGUAUGUAUCUGAAGCUAAAAGUAGGUAGAAAAUGAAAACCACUCCUGGUGAGUGUUCUUAAGUUUCCGAUACCAUAGAAAUGAAUGGACGUUUUGAAAUUAAGAUACAUGUAUGAAAAGCAAAUCCUUGUUGGGUAGAAAAUGAACACAAAUGUGACUGGCUAGGAGAAUGUAUAUGUGAGACUGCAGCAAACUUUUAAACCCUUUAUGAUUCAUUUCACAGCUUUGAAUUUUUAAGACCAGCUUCUUGCUUUCUACAACACGAACGUAUCGUUACAGAGCAGAGCAACUCAAGCCAACAUGGUGCUUGUUAAACCUCAGCUGUAUGGGCAAGGUCAUGAAGGAAAAGCAUUCCUGAUAAAUAAGUAUUUCAUUAGUUG